rnacentral:rRNA from 1 species
AGUGAACGCUGGCGGUAGGCCUAACACAUGCAAGUCGAACGGCAGCACAGUAAGAGCUUGCUCUUACGGGUGGCGAGUGGCGGACGGGUGAGGAAUACAUCGGAAUCUACUUUUUCGUGGGGGAUAACGUAGGGAAACUUACGCUAAUACCGCAUACGACUUACGGGUGAAAGCAGGGGAUCUUCGGACCUUGCGCGACUGAAUGAGCCGAUGUCGGAUUAGCUAGUUGGCGGGGUAAAGGCCCACCAAGGCGACGAUCCGUAGCUGGUCUGAGAGGAUGAUCAGCCACACUGGAACUGAGACACGGUCCAGACUCCUACGGGAGGCAGCAGUGGGGAAUAUUGGACAAUGGGCGCAAGCCUGAUCCAGCCAUACCGCGUGGGUGAAGAAGGCCUUCGGGUUGUAAAGCCCUUUUGUUGGGAAAGAAAAGCAGCAGGUUAAUACCCCGCUGUUCUGACGGUACCCAAAGAAUAAGCACCGGCUAACUUCGUG